GAUGAACGCUGGCGGCGUGCCUAAUACAUGCAAGUCGAGCGAACAGAUGAGGAGCUUGCUCCUCUGACGUUAGCGGCGGACGGGUGAGUAACACGUGGAUAACCUACCUAUAAGACUGGGAUAACUUCGGGAAACCGGAGCUAAUACCGGAUAAUAUAUUGAACCGCAUGGUUCAAUAGUGAAAGACGGUUUUGCUGUCACUUAUAGAUGGAUCCGCGCCGCAUUAGCUAGUUGGUAAGGUAACGGCUUACCAAGGCAACGAUGCGUAGCCGACCUGAGAGGGGGAUCGGCCACACGGGAACUGAGACACGGUCCAGACUCCUACGGGAGGCAGCAGUAGGGAAUCGGCCGCAAUGGGCGAAAGCCUGACGGAGCAACGCCGCGUGAGUGAUGAAGGUCUUCGGAUCGUAAAACUCUGUUAUUAGGGAAGAACAAAUGUGUAAGUAACUAUGCACGUCUUGACGGUACCUAAUCAGAAAGCCACGGCUAACUACGUG
rnacentral:rRNA from 1 species